rnacentral:lncRNA from 1 species
AUGGUCCAUAAUGAUGUGAUUGUGGCAAAGAGUCCGGUUCAUCUAGCGGACAAGCCGGAGGGAGUUCACGAGGAAAAGACGCGCUCUAAAAGUUCUCAGGUACUCAAGUAAAGGAUGAAGGUCAAGCAAGCGAGCCGAACCGAACACACAAUCUUCUAGAACGCUUCCGCAAUUAUGACUUUUGUUUUAGAUACUAAGUAAACUAAUGGUAGUUACCGUCUUGUAUGGGAUUUUAUAACAACAAUACAUGUAUGUUGUAAAAUUUUGGGUUUAUACUAUGAAAGUUUUUGUAAAGUCGUCAUUUUGGCGUUAAAUGCAAGGUUUUUAGGUUGUUAAAUUUGGUAAUAUAAACUGGGUCU